rnacentral:tRNA from 1 species
CGGGGAGUAGCUUAGUUUGGUAGAGCGCUUGCCUUGGGAGCAAGAGGUCGCAGGUUCAAAUCCUGUCUCUCCGACCA